GCCAAGCUACACCAAAGCAAAGAAUGUGAAAAAGCUUCUGUCAGCUCCUCUCAUUCCUCUGUAAACACCAGCCUAGGAGCACCGUGCCCGAGAUCACAGCCUGCCCAGCCCAGCACUGUUCCAGCAAGGAAAGAACUUGUCCCACACAAGGGAAAACACAAAUCUGGGAAAGCACAAAACACCCAACCAGCCAAAGUGUGUCAGCAGCUUGUGGUUCACAGGGUGAGAGCCCACACACCAGCAGGACAGCUCCUAGACAGCAAGGCCAACGUUGACCAACCUACCUCAAGAAGCAGCCCAGCAGCUGGAGAGAAUAUUUGUGUGCUUCUCAGGAUGGGAUGAUUACAAAGCAGCCCUGCUCCUUCUGGACUGCACAAUUCCUCGCUCAAGCAUCUCUGCAUCCCACUGUGGUGGAGAAGCCACCCUAGGGUGGGUACGAAGGAGGAACUGCUGGGGACACACAAACAGACUGACAGCUCUAGCUGAGCUCAGGGGACCCUCAGCAGUGGGAUGAACCCACAGCUUUCCCUACAGCUCAUGAGAAGAGCAGGUUGUCAGAAGGCAGAACAGACAUUUUGGUGACAGCUUCUUAUUUAACGUAAUUGCUACACCUCAGAAAAAAAAAAAAAAAGCCUUAUCACGAGCCAAGAUGAUUUUCCUCCAAGAAAUCCUUGAGGUUUGUUGUUUCCAUUGAGCUCUGCAGGGGAGAGCCCUGCUCCCAGACAGCAGCUGGGGCUGGGGAAGCCACUUUCUGGAAAGGGAGGAAGGCUGGGGAGGAA